rnacentral:rRNA from 1 species
UACAGAGGGUGCGAGCGUUGUCCGGAAUCACUGGGCGUAAAGCGCACGUAGGCGGAUGUGUCAGUCAGGGGUGAAAUCCCGGAGCUCAACUUCGGAACUGCCUUUGAUACAGCACGUCUUGAGUCCGGAAGAGGUGGGUGGAAUUCCUAGUGUAGAGGUGAAAUUCGUAGAUAUUCGCAAGAACACCAGUGGCGAAGGCGGCUCACUGGCCCGGUACUGACGCUGAGGUGCGAAAGCGUGGGGAGCAAACAGG